AAUCAACGCUGGCGGCGUGCCUCAGACAUGCAAGUCGAACGCGAAAGGCCCCCUUCGGGGGCCGAGUAGAGUGGCGUCCGGGUGAGUAACACGUGGGUAAUCUACCUUCGGGUGGGGAAUAACGACCGGAAACGGUCGCUAAUACCGCAUAAUGCAGCGGCACCUAAUGGUGACAGUUGUUAAAGCGGGGGAUCGCAAGACCUCGCGCCUGAAGAGGAGCCC
rnacentral:rRNA from 1 species